rnacentral:rRNA from 1 species
UGAUUACUGCUCAGUAACACGUGGACAACCUACCCUUGGGUCGGGGAUAAACCCGGGAAACUGGGUAUAAUACCCGAUAGUCCUCGAAUGCUGGAAUGCAUCGAGUUCUAAAACUCCGGUGCCCAAGGAUGGGUCUGCGGCCUAUCAGGUAGUAGUGGGUGUAGCGUACCUACUAGCCUACGACGGGUACGGGUUGUGAGAGCAAGAGCCCGGAGAUGGAUUCUGAGACACGAAUCCAGGCCCUACGGGGUGCAGCAGGCGCGAAAACUUUACAAUGCCGGCAACGGCGAUAAGGGAACUUCGAGUGCCAGGUUACAAAUCUGGCUGUCGUGAUGCCUAAAAAGCAUUGCAUAGCAAGGGCCGGGCAAGACCGGUGCCAGCCGCCGCGGUAACACCGGCGGCUCGAGUGGUAACCGUUAUUAUUGGGUCUAAAGGGUCUGUAGCCGGCCGGAUAAGUCUCUUGGGAAAUCUGGCAGCUUAACUGUCAGGCUUUCAGGAGAUACUGUCUGGCUCGAGGCCGGGAGAGGUGAGAGGUACUUCAGGGGUAGGGGUGAAAUCUUGUAAUCCUUGAAGGACCACCAGUGGCGUAGGCGUCUCACCAGAACGGACCUGACGGCAAGGGACGAAAGCUAGGGGCACGAACCGGAUUAGAUACCCGGGUAGUCCUAGCCGUAAACGAUACUCGCUAGGUGUCGGCCACGGUGCGACCGUGGUCGGUGCCGUAGGGAAGCCGUGAAGCGAGCCACCUGGGAAGUACGGCCGCAAGGCUGAAACUUAAAGGAAUUGGCGGGGGAGCACA